AGGUGGCCUCCCUGGCCGCGGUGGCCAGCGUGCUGCAGUCAUGGGACCUGAGCCUCACAGAAGCUAUGCUCAAGAACAUGGAGGCAGAGCAGCAGCGCCGUGCUCAGGAGGCCCAGAAGCACAAGGAGAACGAGGCCAAGCGGUGAGCAGAGGGGAGGGCGUGCCUGGGGCCGGGUUGGAGGUACGUGGACCACUGAUGGUGUGGAUGACUGACCAGCCUGCCUCUUUCCUCUGCAGCAUCAACAUCAAGGUGCAGCAGCUGGCUAAGGAGCAGCAGAAGUGUCAAAAGGAGGUGAUCUGUGACCCAGGCCUCCCUGCAGGAAGGAGAGCCACGGGGAGGGCCUGAGAGAUCGGGGAGGGGGUGAGUUGCUGGGGUCUGUAAAGCCUCUCUGCCACCAGCUCCAGCAGGCCUACUGUGAGCUCAAUCGGAGGAUCAUGGAACAUGACAAGUGUGAGAGGAAGUUCAUGGGCAAUACCGAACUCACACUACAGGUGGGGCCCUUACAGACAUUGUGCUCCCCACAUCUCCCCAUGAUGCUCCCUGCGUCAGCCUGGGGGCUCCCCUUCCAAGGAAAAUUUCAGGCAUCUCUGCCCUCCAAACCUUCCUGGGGGCAUGGAUAGAGCCGGGAGAGGAGGUCCUGGCAGGCACUAACUCAUGUGUCUGGGUAGCCAACGCCACCCUGACCCUUCCACAAAGUAUGCGGUAGCUCCGAGGCGAUGGGGAGAGCAAUGGUCAGCAUGACCCCUUCUUUAGGCCAUCAAGGAUGCAGAGGCCCAAGUGGACAGAUUGCAGCAAGAGGCACAGAAGGCUGAGGAGACACUGGCCAUGGCCAGGCUGGAGCUGCGGGAACAGACUCCGGAGGGUGGGCAGGGCUGUGGUGGGGGAGCUGGGGGACCCGAAGAGGCAAUGCCAGGGUGGGGACUUAGCAGCGGGAUCUCCCAUGCUCUGCAACUAACACCUCCACAGACGAGGAUACAGAACCUGGGCUCAAGUGCCGGGUCACGGAGCUCCAUGACGUGCUGAUGAAGGACGUAGGGGAUCGCAUCCGAGCCGAUGGACGGUCAGUACCCAGGCUGGGUGUGGGUAGGAGUCAGAGGGGCCCAUAGACUGCAGUGACCAGGUGGCUGCCUUCAGGUGGCCUCUUGUCAUCGACCCUUCUGGCCAGGCAGCCACUUUCUUGAGAUACCAGGACACCAACUAUGUGGACACCCUAAAUCCGGAGCACUUGAGACCUGAGAGGAUUCGGCUGGCUCUCCUGGGGGCACUCAGGUGUGUCAGGCAGGGCCCAGGACAGCCCCGCCCUGGGCCUUACCUGCCUCCUCACCAGACACACCUACAGAUGGACCUGAGUAUGACCCCUCCCAGUUCCAAGAGGCUCGCCUAGAGAACUUCCGCCUCUUCUUUGUCACCCAAGUUAAGUGGCCCCCAGCUGACCAGCUGCAGACCCUGCUCCCAGUGCGUGUGCAGAUGCCCAGUGGAAGGUUCUAG
rnacentral:lncRNA from 1 species